GUCCUCUUAGUCUAAUGGUUAGGACACCACCUUUUCAAGGUGGUUGAAGGGGUUCGAAUCCCCUAGAGGAUA
rnacentral:tRNA from 1 species